UUUCAAAAAUCACAAAAAUAAACACCCUCUCUCAUAAAUCUUCAUCAACCAGAGAUCUUCAAAAGUCACCUAACACUCACUCUCUCUCAUAAUCUUCAUUUUACCCUCUCAAAAUAUUCAGACAAUCGCCCACAAAAGAGACGAUCGCUGCAGAUAUUCAAAAAUCGCCGGACAACAAUCAAGGAUCGCCGGAAAUUGUAGGGUUCAGGUGCAUCGGCGUCGGUUCAGGUGCGUCGCUCCGGUCAGAUCGGUGGUCGGAGGUCCAACCGGAGAUUCGGUGUCGAACCGGUGACUGUUUCUUAGCGAAAUGGAAAAGGCCAACGAUCUUUUUGUCGCCGAAGAUGGGCCCAUACUUCACCGGAAAUUCGACCUUUUUGACCUUUUCGCCGGAGGUCCAAUUGUUAUGUGUGGGUCAUUUGCUGUGCUCAUGUUUUUUUUUGUUUCUUAAAAGGUUUUGAAAGUCUUCCCAAAUCCAAUAACUGUCACUACGGUUCAGUUUGCUGUUGGGAGUGUGAUUGUAUUCUUGAUGUGGACAUUGAAUAUUCACAAAACGACCUAAAACCAGUGCGGCACAUGUACUUCCAUGUUAUGAAGGAAUGAAUUUGUUAUGUAUGUACAUAUAAAGACUCUUUUGUUUUAUACAUGUGGACCAUAUAUUUAAGCGAAUUGAGUUUUUUUUUUUUUUUUUUUUUUUUUUUGAGGAAUAUGAUUAUAGAUGGUGAUUUGG
rnacentral:lncRNA from 1 species